rnacentral:rRNA from 1 species
AGUGAACGCUGGCGGCGUGUUUUAGGCAUGCAAGUCGAACGCGAAAGCAGCAAUGCGUGUAGCGUGGCGAAAGGGCGAGUAAUGCGUGGGUAAUUUACCUUAAGGAUUGGACUAACCAUUGGAAACGAUGGAUAAUGCCAAAUGGUCCGGACCGGCGGCAUCGCUGGUCCGGUAAACGGUCGGUUUCGGCCCUCUGCCUUGAGAGAAGUUCACGUCCUAUCAGCUAGUUGGCGGGGUAACGGCCCACCAAGGCAAUGACGGGUAGCCGGACUGAGAGGUUGGCCGGCCGCACUGGGACUGAGAUACUGCCCAGACUCCUACGGGAGGCUGCAGUCGAGAAUCUUCCGCAAUGGGCGAAAGCCUGACGGGGCGACGCCGCGUGUAGGAUGAAGGCCU